CUGUUUUAUAACUAUUGUGACAGAGUCAGUCAGAUAUACUCCAGUAAAGCUCCACCUCUUCCUGUACGCAGACAGACACUGAGGACAGCACAUGUGAGACAUCAGAGCAGACAGCAUACAGACGGACAGAGAGACGCUCUACCUGGACAUGGAUCACCUGUUGGUGCUGUUGCUGUUGCUGUGGAGCUCAGAGUCAGUCAGAUAUACUCCAGUAAAGCUCCACCUCUUCCUGUACACAGACAGACACUGAGGACAGCACAUGUGAGACAUCAGAGCAGACAGCAGACAGACGGGCAGAGAGACGCUCUACCUGGACAUGGAUCACCUGUUGGUGCUGUUGCUGUUGCUGUGGAGCUCAGCACUGCAGACUGAAGGAACACCCAACUCAACAGGUAAAUAGAGAAAGAAAAGAGAAGUAAAGAAUCGUCUUUGUGUGCUGUGCAGGAACACUGGAGGUGAGACAUAAAGCAGACAGGAGACCAGUGAUUGGCUCAGACUGGAACCUUAAGGGAG
rnacentral:lncRNA from 15 species